GAUUCUUGGGUCAAGAAGCAAACCAGGACUGGAAUUAAGGCCAAGGGCGAGGCACAGGGCAGAUGCCAAGAGUGUUUUCCGGAGUCCUGUCCCACGAAGCAUCUUACAGCUGGAAGCACCUGCUUGCUGAGUUCCUAUCGAUGUGGCUGGUUGUGAAGCUCUGAGGAGGAAUGACCCUUGGCCAUUUCCACUUCCUUGGCAUUUCUUCUAACCCCAAGCAUCCUGAAGCAAGCUCUUUUGGGUGCCCUAUUCCUAUUGUACCGGCCCUCGGAGUCCUUUCCUGCAGUAUCUUUCCAUGUACACAGGAAAGAUGAUUCCAUCUCCAGCACAGGGUCAGUACUGAUUCAUCGAAGUGGCUCAUGGGAAUCUCAUCAUUAUAUAUAGUCAUAUACUUGGGUGUGCCCAUGUUACUUGGAUGGGCAGUACUGGAAAAUUUCCCCUUGUUCUUAAACUAGUGACUUACUAUUCUUUUCCAGCCAUUUUUGUAUCUGGAUGCGCUAUCUGGGCCUGUGGUAGUUAUCGUGUAAAUACUAGAGAGCCAGCCAGGGGAGAAGGCCCCUAUUGGGAACAUGGCCAAGCAAAAUGAUAAAGAAUGGAGAGACCUGUUGUGGUAUCAUGGAGUCCCUGGCUUAACCCACCUUGGAGCCACCUGCUUUGUGGACCCACUGCCAUGUAGGAUGAUGAGAUGUUCCUAAGACUGCGAGUUUGGGCCUUCAGGUACCUGCAAGAGAAAGGAUUCUUACUAACCUACCCCAUGUCUUUCAGAAAAGCUGAUGCUCCAGGAAGAUGCACAAUAGUAAUGUCAUGAAUUUGUCCUUCUUCCCCCCCACCACGUGUCUUCAAACCCCUGAGAUAAUGAUACCUGCAUUUGAGAAACUCAACCACCACCUUCCUCAUGGUGAUUUUAAGGUCCUGACUUGGCACCAAAUGGGAAAAACCAGCAGAGUGGUGACACACCAGCAAAAGCAUAAAGCACGUUGUGCCUCCUUGAGAGGGAUUCUCUCAAGGAAUCAUUAAAUGCGCGAAUGUGACCUGAAUGAUGAAGAACAACAUAGGGGAGGCCAUGUCCGUGUUGACUUUGGGAGCCUGAGUUCCCAGGUGAGCGGAGGGACCGUGGCUGAGACCCUGAACCCCCGGGGCUGGAUGUGAUGCAGGCCACGAAACCCUGGGAGGCCGGACCAGGCCUGGGAGUGUCCAGGACAGUGUGCGAACGUAAUGGAAAGAGGUAAGAUUCUGGGUUUGCCCUCCAUCCAUUGGGGUGGAGGUGGGGGGGCUUGUCCUAGGAACUUGGAAUAAUGGCAGCCCUUCAGAAAACACCGUGAAUGGUGUGCAAAAUGCGGACAAGAUUGUGGGAGGAGGUGGUGUUUCCCGAGGUGUGGG
rnacentral:lncRNA from 1 species